GCAUCGAUGAAGAACGCAGCGAAAUGCGAUAAGUAAUGUGAAUUGCAGAAUUCAGUGAAUCAUCGAAUCUUUGAACGCACAUUGCGCCCCCUGGCAUUCCGGGGGGCAUGCCUGUUCGAGCGUCAUUACACCACUCAAGCCUGGCUUGGUAUUGGAGGUCGCGGUCCGCCGCGCCUCCUAAUGUCGCCGGCCGAGUCGUCUGUCUCCGAGCGUUGUGAAUCUUCAAUUCGCUUUCGAGUACAGGCGGCGCGCGCCGUUAAACCUCUUUUUCAGGUUGACCUCGGAUCAGGUAGGGAUACCCGCUGAACUUAAGCAUAUCAAUAAGCGGAGGA
rnacentral:rRNA from 1 species